UGGGGAAUUUUCCGCAAUGGGCGAAAGCCUGACGGAGCAAUGCCGCGUGGAGGUGGAAGGCCUACGGGUCGUCAACUUCUUUUCUCGGAGAAGAAACAAUGACGGUAUCUGAGGAAUAAGCAUCGGCUAACUCUGCGCCAA
rnacentral:rRNA from 1 species